GUCUAUUGCCAGACCACCCUGUAUACAUCCAAUCUCAUCUGAUCCCGAAGCCAAGCAGGGUUGGGUCUGGUUAGAACUUGGAUGGGAAGUAAGGGAUGUAAGGGUGACUAGAGU
rnacentral:rRNA from 1 species